AGUGAACGCUGGCGGUAGGCCUAACACAUGCAAGUCGAACGGCAGCACAGUAAGAGCUUGCUCUUACGGGUGGCGAGUGGCGGACGGGUGAGGAAUACAUCGGAAUCUACUUUUUCGUGGGGGAUAACGUAGGGAAACUUACGCUAAUACCGCAUACGACCUACGGGUGAAAGCAGGGGAUCUUCGGACCUUGCGCGAUUGAAUGAGCCGAUGUCGGAUUAGCUAGUUGGCGGGGUAAAGGCCCACCAAGGCGACGAUCCGUAGCUGGUCUGAGAGGAUGAUCAGCCACACGGGAAAUGAGACACGGUACAGGCUCCUACGGGAGGCAGCAGUGGGGAAGAUUGGACAAUGGGCGCAAGCCUGAUCCAGCCAUACCGCGUGGGUGAAGAAGGCCUUCGGGUUGUAAAGCCCUUUUGUUGGGAAAGAAAAGCAGCAGGUUAAUACCCCGCUGUUCUGACGGUACCCAAAGAAUAAGCACCGGCUAACUUCGU
rnacentral:rRNA from 1 species